UACAGAGGUCCCGAGCGUUGUUCGGAUUUAUUGGGCGUAAAGCGCGCGUAGGCGGACCUGCAAGUCAGAUGUGAAAUCUCGGGGCUCAACCCCGAAACUGCGUCUGAAACUACAGGUCUAGAAUCUUGGAGGGGGAAGGGGAAUUUCGCAUGUAGGGGUAAAAUCCGUAGAUAUGCGAAGGAACACCAGUGGCGAAGGCGACUACCUGGCCUGUUCUUGACGCUGAGGCGCGAAAGCUAGGGGAGCAAACGGG
rnacentral:rRNA from 1 species